AUCAACGCUGGCGGCAUGCCUAACACAUGCAAGUCGAACGAGAAAGUCCCCGCAAGGGGAUGAGUAAAGUGGCGCACGGGUGAGUAACACGUGACUAACCUACCUUCGAGUGGGGAAUAACCUCGGAAACCGGGGCUAAUACCGCAUAAUAUCCACGGAUGCAAUACUGUGGAUCAAGCACGCAAGUGGCUUGAAGAGGGGGUCGCGGCGGAUUAGCUAGUUGGUAGGGUAACGGCUUACCAAGGCGAUGAUCCGUAGCCGGCCUGAGAGGGCGGUCGGCCACACUGACACUGACAUACGGGUCAGACUCCUACGGGAGGCAGCAGUCGGGAAUUUUGGGCAAUGGGCGAAAGCCUGACCCAGCAACGCCGCGUGAAGGAUGAAAUCCCUCGGGAUGUAAACUUCGCAAGAACGGGAAGAAUAAGUAAGAGUUAAUAUCUCUUACGAUGACGGUACUGUUUGUAAGCUCCGGCUAACUCCGUGCCAGCAGCCGCGGUAAUACGGGGGGAGCAAGCGUUGUUCGGAUUUACUGGGCGUAAAGGGCGCGUAGGCGGCCACCGCAAGUCGACUGUGAAAUCUCCGGGCUUAACCCGGAAAGGUCAGCCGAUACUGCGGGGCUAGAGUGCAGAAGGGGCAACUGGAAUUCUCGGUGUAGCGGUGAAAUGCGUAGAUAUCGAGAGGAACACCUGCGGCGAAGGCGGGUUGCUGGGCUGACACUGACGCUGAUGCGCGAAAGCUAGGGGAGCGAACGGGAUUAGAUACCCCGGUAGUCCUAGCUUAAACGAUGAAUGCUUGGUGUCUGGGGUUUUAUAGUCCCCGGGUGCCGUCGCUAACGCUUUAAGCAUUCCGCCUGGGGAGUACGGUCGCAAGACUGAAACUCAAAGGAAUUGACGGGGACCCGCACAAGCGGUGGAGCAUGUGGUUUAAUUCGACGCAACGCGAAGAACCUUACCUGGGCUAGAAUGCCUCUGACCGCCAUAGAGAUAUGGUUUCCUGGGUAAAACCAGGCAGAGUGCAAGGUGCUGCAUGGCUGUCGUCAGCUCGUGUCCGUGAGAUGUUGGUUAAGUCCGCAACGAGCGCAACCCUUAUCAAUAGUUGCCAGCGGUUCGGCCGGGCACUCUAUUGAGACUGCCGUUGACAAAACGGAGGAAGGUGGGGAUGACGUCAAGUCCUCAUGGCCUUUAUGUCCAGGGCUACACACGUGCUACAAUGGCAAGUACAAACCGCUGCAAACCAGCAAUGGGGAGCAAUCGGAAAAGCUUGUCUCAGUUCGGAUUGGAGUCUGCAACUCGACUCCAUGAAGCUGGAAUCGCUAGUAAUCGCAGAUCAGCAUGCUGCGGUGAAUACGUUCCCGGGUCUUGUAUACACCGCCCGUCACAUCACGAAAGUGGGUUGUACUAGAAGUCGUCGCGCCAACCCGUAAGGGAGGCAGGCGCCCACGGUAUGAUCCAUGAUUGGGGUG
rnacentral:rRNA from 1 species